GCAAAUCUCAAAAAGCCGUCUCAGUUCGGAUUGUUCUCUGCAACUCGAGAACAUUAAGAUGGAAUCGCUAGUAAUCGUGAAUCAGCACGUCACGGUGAAUUUGUCAACGAGCCUUGGACACCUUGCCCGUCACAUUGCGGAAAUGGUUUUGGCUUGAAAAAUCUUU
rnacentral:rRNA from 1 species